CCAACAUGACUAUCUAUUAGUAGAGCUGAUCAAGGGCCAAGCUUUGGGCCUAAACUCUAUUCAUUUUUAAUCGAGUUUCAAGCUAGAUCUAUGUAAACUUUGAUAUAUUCUGGGCCCAAGCCUAGCCCACGAUCACGUCUAUCUAUUGGAAAUACAUGCAGGAGGUUUAGUAGCUUAUGAAAAGCACUUUGCCAAUUUCAAGGCAAUGAAGCGAAAGGUUGCCAAGAAGAAGGUGAAGGUGGACCACCAAACAACCAAGUCACCAUCACAUCAAUCUAAGGAUGUGAAGGGUAUUGAUUCUGUGCUAGAUGAUGAGGCACAAAUUCAAACUAUCAUCCAGGCAAGCUUUAAUGAUCAAUGGCAAUGGAAUGAGUUUGCCAAGCACAUGGCUCAAUUUCAAACCGGACCUUCUUAGUAUGAGGCAAGCAUUGAUUCCAAGGCUG
rnacentral:lncRNA from 1 species